rnacentral:rRNA from 1 species
AACUCUUGACAUCCAGAGAAGAGGCUAGAGAUAGCUUUGUGCCUUCGGGAGCUCUGAGACAGGUGCUGCAUGGCUGUCGUCAGCUCGUGUUGUGAAAUGUUGGGUUAAGUCCCGCAACGAGCGCAACCCUCGUCGUUAGUUGCUAACAGUUCGGCUGAGAACUCUAACGAGACUGCCUACGCAAGUAGGAGGAAGGUGAGGACGACGUCAAGUCAUCAUGGCCCUUACGACCAGGGCUACACACGUGCUACAAUGGGGUAUACAAAGAGCAGCAAUACGGUGACGUGGAGCGAAUCUCAAAAAUGCCUCCCAGUUCGGAUUGUAGUCUGCAACUCGACUACAUGAAGUUGGAAUCGCUAGUAAUCGUAGAUCAGCUAUGCUACGGUGAAUACGUUCCCGGGUCU